GAGGGAGGGAAAGGAAGGAGAGCGGAAGAUGGGAGACGUGCCAACACCUUGGUGUCGUUUUUCGUCGACACUGAGAAGGAUUCGAAUGUUUGGGUUCUGAUUAUCGUGUGGGUUUGCCCACCUCGAGGAGCCUCUUGGAGCUUGACAACACCGGGGAUCAAAAUGAAGGUGAUGAGGUUGUGGUCCAGUCCAGUGACAACUCGUGAUGGCCGCCAUUGAAGACGAUUUGACGCAGAGGAAGUGAGCAUAAUCCCAAACGACGGCAAGCAGAACUGCGGCGUGUGACUUCCUGUCAAGCGAAGUGUGGUUUCUCGCUCUGCCGGAGGUGAUGCCAGGAAAGGGUAAAGCUGAAGCGGUGAGAAGAAAUAUCAUCAUCAUCCUCCGCCGUGUACGGGAGCCUAAUAAAUGAAGUCCGUUGGAGAAAAUCCAGCAAAUCCCCGUGUUUGUUUUAGUACUCACGGUUUUCGAGAGCAACCCAGCAGCAGCGCGGCGCCGACGGCGACGACGACGGCUAGCAGGACGUACAGCCAGGAUCCUUUCACUAAUGCGCAGGAGGAAAUCAGCAGCCAAUUAAAAGGUUUUAUCCAGUGUAAAUACUGUACAUUGGGACAAGCCGAAAGUCACAACAACAACUGUUGCAGUGUUGUAAGUCUGCCUUUAAGGGGCGUGGCCAAGUGAGACAUCGAGACUGCAGGUCCGGUUGACCCAACUCGGCCGGUUAGACUUCACGUGAGCAUCGGCGACUGCCCACAUGCGAGGGCAUUACAGUAGCAUAAUUGCUCCAGGUUUUUCCUUUCACUUCACUCGAGAGGCAGCGUAUGUGAAGCUAGCAUAACUCAAAUUUGGAGUUAUGCUAAAGUUGAGUAAAAAAACAAAAAAAAACAACCAAAAAACAACUAAUGCCUGGAUCGGACCACAACAAAUUUGAUAUGUCAGACUACUGCUCUAAAAUCCUGCCGAGAACACUGGCAACCCUACACGACAAAUAUCACAGUAUCACCGUAUCCCGUCUUUGACAAUCAUACGGUUAAUAUUGUAAAGAUUGGGUAAACUACCGGCUACAAUAACGGAUACCACGGUGCGAGUUUUGAUUGUGGCAAUGUUUUCUGUUGACAAUAAAGAGCAAAGACGAAAUAACUUCUGUGGUGUCGUCCCCGGAGGAGCUUGAGGUCAUGGUUCACAUGCUUUUAAUACUGCUAGCAGGUUGUUUUGCCGACUGGAACUCAGUCAGACGCUCUAUGUGUCUGCUUAAUGUCGGAACUGACUCGCUACUCUGUUCUGCGAAUUCUGCCUAGCAACAAACGGGAACUGAAUCCCUACUCUGUUCUGCGAAUUCUGCCUAGCAACAAACGGGAACUGAAUCCCUACUCUGUUCUGCGAAUUCUGCCUAGCAACAAACGGGAACUGAAUCGCUACUCUGUUCGACAAAUUCUCCCUCGCAACAAAUUGGAACUAAAUCGCUACUCUGUUCUUUUUUUGUUGUUGUCCUGUUCGGCUGUUAGGUCAAGCAGAAUGGAAAAUCUGUAUCCCUUUAAUGCCGAAACAGUUUUACUGCGUCACAGUGGAGUUUUUAAGGUUCCGCGGUGGCAUUAUAAUGAGGUUUAUUGAGAAUCAGACUUGAUCAGUCGAACAGGACAAAGUUUGUAGAUGGGAGAAAGAAACAAAGACAAAAGACAAAGCACUAAUUGUAAACAGGAUGAGCGAAGUAAAUUAUUACAUUAUCGACAACAAUGAAAGGUUAAAUAUGAGUGUUGCAUGGGGCUGUGGUGCUCCACCCUGGGAGGGAAGGACAGGACAAGAUAGAACAGGACAAGGACAGGAGAAGAAGCAUGCAGGACAAGGGUCGUGAACCCGGCUGUACAAUUGAAGUGUGGUGGCAUUAAUGAUGUAAAUUAUAAAAGUGUACAGGGCGAGAGGAUAAGUGAGGGGAUACACAUGCGAUUUGCACAUUCACGAGUUAUUUGUUGCAGUAAGGGGUGUGUGCCUGCGGAUACAUGCAAGUGAAUUGAUACCGUUUUACAUGCACAAACACUGACAGAGGUGUCCUGUAAUCGCGGCGGCGGGGGACCCCACCCGAUCAUUCGAGGGGCGGGAUCUGGCCCAGGGGUCCACCCGAGAGCAGCCCGGCGGACGGGACACGUCCCACACCGAGGGAUCCGGGGCGCUCCGCCGGCCCCACCGAGACGCCCCGACAACCGGCCACCCGGCGGGGGCCGCAGGGACCCGACGGUCCCUGGGUCUCGCCACUCUGUUCUACAAAUUCUGUCUAGCAACAAACGGGAACUGAAGCGCUACUGGUCUACGAAUUCUGCUUAGCAACAAACGGGAACUGAAUCACUACUCUGUUCCACGAAUUCUGCCUAGCAACAAAUGGGACCUAAAUUGCUACUCUGUUCUACGUAUUCUGCCUAGCAACAAACGGGAACUGAAUCGCUACUGUUCUACGAAUUCUGCCUAGCAACAAACAGGAACUGAAUUGUUACUCUGUUUUACGAACUCUGCCCAGCAACCUUGCUGUCUCCUUGGCCACACUGCAAAUCAUGGCAGAAAAAGGUCAGGAAGAGCCGGCAGGAACACAAUAAGACACAUGCUUAAUGUCAGAACUGAAUCACUACUCUGUAUUACAUAUAAACAGGUUUUACAAUGUACAUGAGUAUCUCCCUGUGUAACAAUCAAUAAAAUAGAGACUCGCUUCUCCGUUACCUCCGACGUCCGCUGAGUUUGUCGGCGUGGUCGUCCACUUGACCGUGAAACUCCACUCGCUCCACGGGCCCUGAGACGGGUUACUGGGACACAACUUGGCCUGGACCGCCACGCUACACGUGGCACGG